AGCGAACGCUGGCGGCAGGCUUAACACAUGCAAGUCGAGCGGGCACUUUCGGGUGUCAGCGGCGGACGGGUGAGUAACGCGUGGGAACGUGCCCUCUGGUUCGGAAUCACUCAGGGAAACUUGAGCUAAUACCGGAUACGCCCUUUUGGGGAAAGGCUUGCUGCCGGAGGAUCGGCCCGCGUCUGAUUAGCUAGUUGGUGGGGUAACGGCCCACCAAGGCGACGAUCAGUAGCUGGUCUGAGAGGAUGAUCAGCCACACUGGGACUGAGACACGGCCCAGACUCCUACGGGAGGCAGCAGUGGGGAAUAUUGGACAAUGGGCGCAAGCCUGAUCCAGCAAUGCCGCGUGAGUGAUGAAGGCCUUAGGGUUGUAAAGCUCUUUUAUCCGGGACGAUAAUGACGGUACCGGAGGAAUAAGCCCCGGCUAACUUCGUG
rnacentral:rRNA from 1 species